CACCAGCCUUCCCGCCUCAGUAGAGCCCAUCUCCACCACCCGGGGUCCUGUCUUCCCCCAGCCCAGCUCUUCCCGGCCCUGCGCCUGCGCAUGCUCUCUUUCCUGUCUAAAUGUCCUUCCCUCUCUUUUCUGGAGUCCCACUCACCUGUCAACUUGUACCAACGCACGGUCCUUCCCAGGACUCCAAGGAGGGGCCACUCCCUUUGUGCUCCCACCACCCACUCGCCCCAGGCCCACACUGUGGUGUGAAUGUGCCCACGUGUGUCAGUGUCAUACCCACGGUGACAUGGUGAACAAAGGGAGAAACUGGAAGCUUAUUCCUCAGGUCAGCACGAGGCAAGGACAUGCUCUCACCACUUCUAUUCAACAGAGUACAAGAGUCGUCAUCAGGAGCAGUUAGACAGGGAAAGAGAGCCACUUGGAAAGCAAGAAAUAAAUCCCUUUUACCUGCAGGUGACGUGGUCAUACGAAGAAGACCCCAAGGAGUACACACACACACACACACACAUACACAUACACAUACACACAGAGAAAGUUAAAUCUAAUAACUGAAUUCAUAAAAUUUCAGGAUAUAAAAUCAACAUAUAAAGAUCUUUGACAUUUCUAUAUACAAAUAACUACCUAGACAAAAAAAGAGAAAACAAACCCAUGUAUGAUAGCAUAAAAAGCUGAUUAAUUAGGAAUAAAUUAACAAAGAGGUGAAAGGCCUACACAUUGAAAACCAUAAAACAUUGAUGAAAAAAUUAACAUACUAAUGGAUCAAAAGAAUUAAUAUUGUUCAAGUGUCCAUAUGACCCAAAGCAACAGACUCCACAUAAUCCCUAUUGAAUUCCCAAUGACAUUCUUCAUAGAAACAAAAAACAAAAUUCUAAAGCUUCUAUACAAUAUCCCCACCACCUCCCACUCACACAACACACACACACACACACACACACACACACAGCCAAAGCAGUUCAGUUCUGAGGGGAAAUCCAAGGAGGAAGCGUCCUGCCUCCUGGGUGUGAGUUGCAUUACGAUGGCUGGGGCGCAGCGCAGUAGUAGAGCAUGCGCUUAGCAGGUGCAAGGCCCUGGGUUCAAUUCCCGCCAACAAAUGUGUGUAUGAGAGAGUGAGUGUGUAAACAGCCCUUCCACAAUGUCAAACCCAUUCUGCCUCCAGGAGCUGGCUGGCCAACCCUAGCCUGGCACCUUCACAUGCCUCCUCUGCACCCUCUCCAGCCGGGGAGGUCCAGCGCACGUGGCUGAGACCAUCAAGCAGACCUGGCACACAGGGGCAGCUGCUGCUGUCAGAAAGGCAGCGAGAGUCCCCUUCCUCCACCGGGGAGGAGGCCAUUGACUGCUGGCCCACCCCUGGGGAGAACAGAGCCCCCUGCUGAGCUCCUGUGGGACCUGUCCUGCUGUCCCCUCCCUUCCAGGUCUGAGAGCAAGAGGAGGGGAGAAAUUCAAGGUUCUGCUGGCCCCUCUUCACGGCCAGGCUUAAAGCGCCCUCUUGUGCCUUGAAGGCGAUCAGAGGGUACACGCCUGCCAAGGCCUCCCGAGCUGAAGGAACGUGGCAGUCCUGAGUGCCACAGUGUCCCCAGCAUCUUCUCCUGCCGUGAAGGCAGCCCACAUGGUCAUGCAACUGUUCAAGGCAGGCCCUGGGAGAGGAAGGCAAAGCUCCUCCCUCCCCUCCCCUCCUGGGGGCUAACCCUAACCCUAACCCCCCAGGUAAAGAUAGAGGCAGAGGCCAGAACAGGACUGGGAAAGGGCCAAGGGGAAGUGCAGCAACAGGGGUUCUGUUGGGUACGUGGUUAGGACUUCACUGCAGAGGGAGAAAGAGCUGGUCCUAGCAGGAGGCUGCCCAUCCCAGAGGGGCACGUGCAAAGGUCCUGAGGAGCUGGGGAAACUUGCCUUCCAUAUGGAAGGCAGAGAAGGGAGCUGCCUGUGGCUGCAGCAGGGCACAGGGAGGGUGCAGGGGAAGGGGCUGCAGGGGAUGGGGGGCCACAUGAUAUGAAGCAGCAAAGGCCAGGUGCAGAAACGACUCACUGAGCCUGAGCAGGAGUUUGUACUGUCCUCUAAACGCAGUGGAGGACCGUUGAAGGAGUCUCACUAGGUGGUUUGAUUUGAUUUACAUUUUUUGAACAAUUAGCAUUACUGUCCUGGUGGUCCCUGUGUUAUUAAUGUCACUAAAACAGCAAGCCACUUUUCAGAUUAAAACACUGCACGGCCCCUUCUCCUUUCCCAUCCCCAUCCUUCCCUUAGGAUGUGCUCUUAGGGGGAGCUGAUAGCCCUUUCAUUCCCCAGGGGACCCGGCAGAAGGGCGCCCCCCAUCCGCAGCUGCCCCAGCCUCCUCCCUGACUCACUUCCACCCGUGCAGCCGAUCACACCCCCUGGAACCUCCUGCAAUCCCUGGAGCCUUCCAACGCCUCUUGACAGGGACAAGGAGCCCACAGGGAGUGACAAGCCUGUCCCCUAGAGGGAACAUCCAUGGGGACCAUCCAAGCUGCCCUUGGCUUCAUAAGAGACCUCGGAAUCCCCACCCCCACCCUUCAUCUGGCAGUGGUGACAGGCAUCUGUGAUACAUGCCACGGGGGUCCUAGAGAACGCGUGCAAGGGGGCCUCUUGCGCCCGCCCCUCAUCUGUGACUCCCAAGGCUAGGGCCUACCCAGGCCCACCCAGGCCCACCCACCGGCUCCUGGUCUCUGGUUUGCGCUCCAAGGUCGUGAGGCAGCGAGGCGGGAAGAGCACCGGCGCCCCCUGCUGCCCACGCCCUCCACAGCAAGGCUCCGGUCCCUGCGGGAGAACGCGCUUGGCAACUUUAAGCCAAGUGUAGUAUUUUCUAACUGGCGACAGUGGUAUCUUGGGUCAGCUGAUUUUCCUGAACACCUACACCCAAGAAACAGUUCCGAGGGGAGAGGGGGUGGUUAACUGUGCUGACUUUGUUUCUAAGAUGAUAAGGUUGAUUGAAAGGUAAAGGGCCGGGCGCCUGACCAUACCUGUGACCUCAGUGACUCAGAAGGUCGGGGCAGGAGGAUCCCAAGUUCAAGGCCAGCCUGGGCAAAUUAGCAGGAACCUCAAAAAUUUAGUGAGACCCUGUCUCAAAAAUAAAGUAAAUGACCCAAGUUCAAUCCCCAGUGCCACAGAGGAGGUUGGGGAGGGACAGAGUGAAGAAAAGGCAGCGGAGUUUUAAAAUCUGGCAGAAAGCGUCCAUUGCUGCAACUUACUAGCUAUGUGGGCGUGGCCCAAAGUUCCCCUGUGUCCUGCCUGGGUGGCCAUGUCUACCUGACCAGGUCACUCAGCCAACUCAGCUAGGACUCAUAGACAUAGACAGCCAUAGCUGUGGACAUCAGAAGAGCUUUGAAGUGGGGAAGGUUGUGUAACCGAAGACAGCAGCUAGUGCUGCUCCAACUGGAUCCUCUACCGUCUGGGUGGCCAGACACAGGAGUCCCAAUGCCCACGUGAGCGGCUGGGAGGUUUGGCUCAGCAAUUUGGAGCCAUCUUGUGUCAGGGAUGCCUUUCCUCGUGCACACCAGCUACCACAGGAGCCAGCUGACCCCUGGAUGCCCAUCUGCACAGUCCCGCCCCUCCACUCUGUGGCUCCAAGAGCCCCACACCAGGAACACGAGUCCAAAUCCUGAUUUUGGAGCUCAGGCACACGUUGAAGCUGCCAGAUGUGCCAGCUCCCUCUGCCUCUGCAUAAGGCCACAACAGAAGGUGUCCGUCAGCUCGGGCUGCUAUGACAAAAUGCCAGGAACUCAGCAGCCUGUCAACAGUGGACAUUAUUUCUGGCAGUUGUGGGGGCUGGAAUCUGAGAUCAGGGUGUGAGCACACAUGGGUUCUGUUGUGGGCCCUUCCCGUCGCAGAUGGCAGAAGACAGCUACUGACUCUGGCUCUUCUUACCAGGGCACUAAUCCCGUUCAAGAGAACCCCACCAUGGUGACCUCCUACCUCCCAGGUCCAAACAACGUCACACUGGGAUUAGGAGGGGUUCAACCUACAGAUCUGAGGGACGCUCAAGCAGUAAGAGAGGAUAAUUUGUGUGCCCCUAGUGAGAACUAUGGGGACGGAACCAAUGUCAAGUUCCCUGUGAGAAUCUUUCCUGUGGAGCCAGGCAGCUGCCGCAGUCUGGUUGGGCACCAUUCAGGAGCCACUUGUCAAAAGAAACGAACUUUAUUUUUAGAACCACACAAGCCAAACAAAACAGCUCCUCAGGAAAACCCCUCAGAGCCCAACUGCCACCACCGGCUUCCCACAAGCCUCUCAACCUCCCCGACUCCUCCUGCUCUUGAGGCCAAUUGGCUGGGUCCAGUGGGUGGAGCCAAAAAAAAAGUCCCCCAAUGAGCAGCUCCGUAGUCUGAAAGGGCGGGGAAACAGCCCAAUGAGCAUCACCGCAGAGGAGCCAAUCAGCUAGAAGUUGCUGGGGCGCUGUGAGCCAAUCAUCAGAUGGCAGUCUGAAAGUUUGCUGGGGCCCCUUUGGCUGUGGCUCUCAACAGGCAGGCUGCUCUUAACAGCUAAGCACUGAGCUACUCAGGAAUCUGCCCGCCUAGGAGCCCAGACGAUGCUGGCUUGGACGCCCACUGUUCAGCCAUGAUGGGUGGACACUGGAAGUGACUUUCUCUGAUGGCUCUAAGUUCAUCUCCCUUACAGUGACUCUUUUUUCUUUCUUUCAAAAUUUUUUUUUUCUUACAAAAUGUCUCCUGCAUAUGAAAAUGUACCAGGGAAAACCCAAAGGACGCCUCCUUCAUGUAGUCUCGGUGCUUAAGACAGAAGGCGCUUCAGACGCAGCCCGGGCUCCGCCCUUGGUCUCCAUCCAGCCCGCCCUCCCGCUCUGCUGAGCCUGGAGCCCACUCCUUCCUCACGUGGGGCUAAAUUUGACUCCCUGUGGAUGUCACUCCAACACCGGGGAGUGUUUUGCUGUAGACCUUGUCAGUUGACAUUGUUUGGGGGAUUGUCCACGUGGACACAUGGAGUUCUGGCCUGUUUGUUUUCACUCCUGUGAAAUAAAUAUUCCCCCUAGGAGCAGCCCCUACUCGGUCCAGACGUCGGGCUGUUCCCCAGGCAGGAGCAGCGCAGCCGUGAACUGCCCACACACCUGCGGGGGCCUCUGGAGCUUGCGCUGGGGAACAGGGUUCCAGCCUUCAGGAUAGCGCUCUCCAGCCUGCCCGGGGCCGCCCACUGCUCUCCCGUCUUCUACCAGCUUUCUCUCUGGCCGUCCCUCACAUUGCUACAGUUUGGUUGUAGUUGUCCCCAAGGGUACAUUGUCUCAGAAGCCUGGUCCCCAGUAUGCCAGUGUCAAGAGGUGGUGGAACCUCCAAGAGGUGAAGCCCAGUGGGAGCAAGUAGGUCACUGGUCAUGUUGACAUUUGCCGUUAGCAUGGUUCCUGGGGGACCCUAAGUUAGUUCUCAUGAGGGGGUUGUUAUGAGAGGGAGACCCUGGCUGCUCCUUCCCUAUAGCUUCCUAUCUAGCCACAUGAUCUCACCUGCACAUGUUUCUGCCAUGGUACCAUCUGCCACGGGACUUUCAGCAGAUCUAAACAAAGACAAGCCUCCAAACUGUCAAAGACUGGUUUUUCAGCCUCCCAAACUGUGAGCUAAGCAAACCUUUUUUCUUCAUAAACACUCUGACUCUGGUAUUUUGUCAUAGUAACAGAAAAGACUAACACAUGCAUCCUGCCACCUUUGCUAAUCUGAUGUGUAAGAAGUAGAAUUAGUUAUUGUGGUCAUUUGUCUCCCCUUAUUAUAACCCUGAGAUCCUAACACUUGUGUCCUACACACUCUGGCUCCUCUCCUGCACAUUGCCUUGGUGUGAAACAAUCCAUUUUCCCUGAUGCCUAAGCCAAAGUCAGGAACUUGUUGACUUGUGGGUGAAGCUGAUGACUGAGGCCUCACCCCUCUGUCUGCUUGGACUAAGAGGCUCCAGUUUAGGUCUACCCUCAGAAGCUCAGAGCCCAACCAGGCUGUGCAGACUUGCCAAGCUCCGACAGGGCCGUGCGACCAGCCUGACACUGCCACAGCCCGAUUCAGUUGUUCCCGGCACCUCUCCCUUCAUCACCGUGGCAAAGCCCCCAAACUAGAGGCUGAGGCCCCAGGGUGCUGAGAGCCCCGAGAACAUUCAUGCCAGCAAAGACAGAGACCAGAGUUCUCCUGCACUGCCUGAGUCAGGGUCAGUCCCAGCGUUUUGUCCCUGUGGCCAAAGACUGCUAAGAGCUCACCAUGGGGCCACUCGUAAUAGCAACCCAAAGAAAAGAGGGAAGCCACCUGAGUGUCCUCCUGCACGAUCAGCUGAAUGAAGAAACGUUCGCUCCUCCAAGAACGCACUUGAAAGCCACCCAAAACCAUGGGGCAGAAGAGCACCCAGGUCAAGGGAGCCUCUCAGGAGCCUUCCUGUGGGUCCUCAGACCCCCUGCAGCUCACGGGCCACUGCUGACCACUGCCUCUGAAUGUCAGCGGGCGGACAAGGGUCCUGAGGGCUCCCAGAGGUUCCUGUGCACACUAAGAGGGUGAGCUCAGCACCGCGGGGCCUGGGAAACAUUCAACAAGCUCACUGUGAGCUAAGAGGAAGAAAGCAGGUUACAUGGCAAUUCAGUGCAUGAAAAAGUGAUCCCGUGUGUGUGUGUGUGUGUGUGUGUGUGUGUGUCCUGACAGGUGCCUAGGAACCCCGCUGACAGCAGUUACCUAUGCAGUUACCUCCAGAUCAUGAUUUCUGAACCUCGGCUCCAUCCCAUCUGGGGCCUGGUGAUUCUGGGGGAGGGGCUGUCCUGGUCACUGCAGGAUGCUCAACACGUCCCUGGUCUCCUCCACUAGAGGCCAGUAGCACCUCGCAGUGAUGGCAAUCGACAGACACCUCCUGAGGGCCCCAGGCCCCGGUUGGGAACCAGCGCUCCAGAUGGAAAGCAUCACAGGGGGCCUUUCCCUGCUUUUAGGAUGUGGGCCUGUUUUUUAUAUUGUUUGUUGCUGUUUUCACUAAGAUGAAUAUAAAGUAUUUACUCACAUUAAAAAUUUAAAAAAAAAAAAAACUUGGUGUUUCUUAAUGGUCCAUGGCCUGUGCUGUCAAAAAAAUAAAAACACUCAGAUAAGACAUUCGUGUUGGUACGUACAGUAAGUAAGCCAAUUUUACUAGCAUUUUAAAAUAGUUACGGAAAAACAUAAAAGUCCUACCCAAAUGUCAAUGUCCCUUAGGAGACGUUAAAAUAUUUCUAACCUUUGGACAAGGCCUCUGGAUUUGA
rnacentral:lncRNA from 1 species